GAUGAAGAACGUAGCGAAAUGCGAUAAGUAAUGUGAAUUGCAGAAUUCAGUGAAUCAUCGAAUCUUUGAACGCACAUUGCGCCCGCCAGUAUUCUGGCGGGCAUGCCUGUUCGAGCGUCAUUUCAACCCUCAAGCCCCCGGGCUUGGUGUUGGGGAUCGGCGUGCCCUCGCGGCGCGCCGUCCCCUAAAUCUAGUGGCGGUCUCGCUGUAGCUUCCUCUGCGUAGUAGCAACACUCGCACUGGAUCGCAGCCCGGCCACGCCGUUAAACCCCCCACUUCUGAAAGUUUGACCUCGGAUCAGGUAGGAAUACCCGCUGAACUUAAGCAUAUCAAUAAGCGGAGGA
rnacentral:misc_RNA from 1 species